AACGAACGCUGGCGGCAGGCCUAACACAUGCAAGUCGAGCGGGUCCUUCGGGAUUAGCGGCGGACGGGUGAGUAACGCGUGGGAAUAUGCCCUUCUCUACGGAAUAGCCUCGGGAAACUGGGAGUAAUACCGUAUACGCCCUACGGGGGAAAGAUUUAUCGGAGAAGGAUUAGCCCGCGUUGGAUUAGGUAGUUGGUGGGGUAAUGGCCUACCAAGCCUACGAUCCAUAGCUGGUUUGAGAGGAUGAUCAGCCACACUGGGACUGAGACACGGCCCAGACUCCUACGGGAGGCAGCAGUGGGGAAUCUUAGACAAUGGGGGAAACCCUGAUCUAGUCAUGCCGCGUGAGUGAUGAAGGCCUUAGGGUUGUAAAGCUCUUUCAGCUGGGAAGAUAAUGACGGUACCAGCAGAAGAAGCCCCGGCUAACUCCGUGCCAGCAGCCGCCGUAACAC
rnacentral:rRNA from 1 species